UACUAGAGUAGCACUUGCAUAUCAAUAAGCGGAGGAAAAGAAACUAACAAGGAUUCCCCUAGUAACGGCGAGUGAAGCGGGAAGAGCUCAAAUUUGAAAUCUUAAAGGGUUUCCCUUUACGAAUUGUAGUUUAAAGAAGUGUUUUCUGUUGAGGUUUUGGUAAAAGUUCUUUGGAAUAGGACGUCAUAGAGGGUGAGAAUCCCGUAUUUGACCUUUACUUUCAACUUUGUGAUACACUCUCAAAGAGUCGGAUUGUUUGGGAAUGCAGUCCAAAAUGGGUGGUAAAUUUCAUCUAAAGCUAAAUAGUUGGCGAGAGACCGAUAGCGAACAAGUACCGUGAGGGAAAGAUGAAAAGAACUUUGAAAAGAGAGUUAAACAGUACGUGAAAUUGUCAAAAGGGAAGCGUUUGACACCAGUGUUGUUUUUCUGAAAAUCAAUUAAAGAACUGUUUAUGCUAAGUUGUUUAGACUUUAUCAGCUAACUGUUUAGUUUUGAGCUCUUCUUUAAUGCACUUUUCAGUUAACAAGUCAACAUCAAUUUCUUUUGCUGUAAAAAAGCUUGAGGAAGGUGGCUUGAGAUUCGUCUUAAGUGUUUAUAGCCUCUUGCCUAUGCAGUCGGAGAGAUUGAGGUCUGCAGCGUAGAUCCUUCGGGGCUAAAUGCAUUUGUGCUAAGUUAUAGCAUUUUAUAGACAACUUGUUGACUAUGAUUUGUCUUGUAGCUUACUCGCUUAUGUUAUUUUACCUACGCUUAGGAUGUUGAGCGCAUGUCUCUCUCU
rnacentral:rRNA from 1 species